rnacentral:lncRNA from 1 species
ACUUUUUUUCUUUUUUGAACAAUUCUUCACAUGGAGUAAAAUUUUCAUUACAAAAUACGAUUAUCUGCAACGUUAUCGAUCAUAAAUGAUAUUUUGUUCACGGUUCUCUCAAUAUUCGGGAAGAAGGGAGAGUAGAAUUAAAAAAUCGAAAUAAUAAUACCGAUAUUUUUUCCUUGUCUGUGGCUUGGCUCGCGCAGAGAGAGAGAGAUCGAAUCGAUAUUUCGAUCGAGAAAAAGAAUUUCCACGAGAUUUUCCACGAAAUCGGGGAUGGAAAACGGACGGUGGUGACGGAUCGUGGCCGAAAAAAGGAAGAAAAAAGAGAAGGAAGGAGGGGAAAAAAUACGACGACGCCAUUUAUUCCCCCGGCAAAAGUUUCGUGCUUGAGGAAUGACUCUCGUUAUGCAAGCCGCCGAACACGUCAACGUUUUCAAUUGUACCCCCUUCGUCGGUUACUCGCGGCUUUUUAUUUCGCGGCCAGGCGUUCAGCCGUGAAAUUGCACCGCUAUAACCGCGUGUCUCGAUUCGAGGAAAAAUCUGUCGCGGGUGUGGGCGCGGUAUCGGUUUUUCCAGUCUGCGAUCGAUUGCUUAAGACGGGUGUCGCGCUAUCAUCGACAACGGCUCGUUUUCCCCACAGGGGGAAUUUUUCUUUCUGUCCAACUCGUAAUUUUCGAUCGAUCGAGUUUCAAGUUUUUUUUUUUUUUUCUUAUCGAAGACGCUUGAACGUCAAUUGAAACAUGGAUGGAUUCGUUGUUGUAAUUAAAAUUAAAACAAACGACGGAUUCUUAUAUAAUUCUAAUUCCAGGAAUAUUCAUGAAAAUUAUUCUUCGGUUUAAAAAUGGAUUUUUGCUUGGCUUUGACUGAUAUUCAAUAUAAAAUAUUUACAAUUGACAGCAAGAUAUUAAACGAGAUUAAUGUAAUAUAGAAUUAUUUUUAAAUGGUCGAAAAGUUAAUCAAGAGAAACAGAUUUGCUCUUACGAAUACAAGACAGCCUUGCCCUUAUAAAUACCUCCCCAUAUCAUAUCAAAUUGAUCCGUCAAUAGGGGAGGAUCUUGUGGCAUUGACAAAUUGGUGCGAAACGGUGGCGAAUACCAAAGUGAGCGAAGGUUAUUGCGUACAUGAGAUAUCGCAGGGGUGUGACGAAAUUGUUCACGUAACCGAUCCUAACCGUUUUCAAUAUAUCGGAAUGUUCCCUCCUGUGUUAAAAAAUUUCGCAAACGAAAUUGGAAAUAUAAAAUUACAGGAAGAAUUUUAUCGUCGUUAUCCAAUAAUAAUAAAGAUACAAAAAAAAAAGAGAGAGAAAUAAGAAACGAAUAACAACGAACAAUAUCACCAAGAUUCCUCGACUCAAUUUCGUUCUAAUAGUGGGUCGCGAUCGGUGGUUGAUCCAUCAGACCGGGACACGUUCAUUCCAACAGGCGAAAGUUUGCCGAUAGUUGUGAACGAAGACGAAGGAUGAUUGGUUGGCUUUGCGUGCAACUUGGAGACAGCUCGAAGACAGUGUCCACGGACACGUACGUGUACAGAUUCCCCUCCCGUUCAAGGAGGGUGGGGAUCGUUCACAUUCGGACAGAUUCCAAUUCCUGAUGCCUUUGCCUCAACCAUCAGCCCUCUGGUUCCCUCUCCCCAUGCCUGGAACCAUCCUCCGCUAGGCUGGCCGCAAACAAGAGGCGAUCAACGUUAGACGCUUCCACAUUCCUUCGAGAACUUCAUUCGUCGCUGAGACGGAUCUUGCUGAUUCGAUCGAAGAUUCGAAGGAACGAUUCGUUGGAUCCUUUAUGAUAUCGUGGAUACCAGACGGGGGGAGAAGGGGAUGCGCGAAGCUGAUGAGGUUGGAAAGGGGUGUCUAUUUAAAGUAGUACGAUUUUCCAUCCCUUUUUGGAUGCAAGUAUUUAUUUUGAUUGAAAUUUGGUAAAUUAAGUAAUAGAACACAAAAAAAUAAUGUUUUAGAAGGAAAGAUUGGAGCUGUGUAUAUUACAUUCGCAAAGUUUCAUUAAUAUCAGAGUGAAGUUGAGUUUGUUAAUGAAACUCUGGUGGUUGCUGGAAUUAUUAUGUAUGAAUUUUAUGACUUGCUGCUUGUUGCCUUAUCACCGUCUUCCUCUCGUUCAUUUCUUUCUCGAAUUUUUUCCAUUAAAUUUAUCUUGUUUCCGCCAUGUCAUGCGGGGUCUCUCUCUCUCAGAUGGGAAGAGAAGAUUUUCCAACGAGCAAGGUAAUUAAUAACGGAAAGCGUACACGUAACUUUCUCUGUACAUAAGCGCUUCAUCAUCCCGGUCAAAAGGCGAAGAAAAAUACUUCGAUCCUCUUUCACGAAAUAAUGAUCUAUCGAUUGUACUCUGUCUGCUUGUUACGCGCAGAAUAAAUACGACUUGCAACUCGAAUCUCGAAGCAAAUCCAAGGCAAAUCACUUUCAUUCCAUCGUUACAACAAUCCUUAAAAUCUUCAGGUUGCUAUAUGAUAAAAAUUAUAUAAAUAUCAAUACAUUCUUUCAAUUGUAAACACUCAAGCUUAACAAAAAUAUUUAUUGCUCUUUUUUUUUCUAGCAAAUCCAAGGUAAAUCACUUUCAUUCCAUCGCUUCGAAUUUAUUCAUUCCAUCGUUACAACAAUCCUUAAAAUCUUCAGCAAAUCCAAGGCAAAUCACUUUCAUUCCAUCGUUUCGAAUUUAUUCAUUUCGUUACAACAAUCCUUGAGGGAUUUUCUGAAUUCGAGUCGCGAAAAAUUAACAAAUAAAUAAUCGAAAAUUAUUUUAUCCCAAAAUUACUUAGAGGAAGCGAUUUCCCCUUUUUUCGAAGAGGGGGAAAUCGCAAAGACGGGGCGACACGAUUCCACGAUCGCGAAUAAUUCGAAACAGUUGCGGCCACGUUUUCCAGGGCUAUUUUCACGUUAGACUGGCGCGCUUUACCGUACGUCUGUGGAUUAUUCCGGCUGUGCAAGCGUACCGGAAGCGCAGCCACCGCUCCUGCACAGGACCUUAACGUUUAUUGUUAUCCAGGUUAAUACCCCGGCUCCGUGUUGUGGAAACUCGGAAAAUCCCAGUGUGACCGAGGACAGCUUUGUCUCUUCCGCUCUGCCAGCCCCCUUUCUCGCCCCUCCCCCCCCUUCCCUUUGUUUUCGUCCGUUUGCCACGCGUCUUUCUCCCCUCUCCCAUUAGACUACUCUUUCUCCCACCAUUAGGCCAUUCCAAUAUUUUCCGCGAGAAAAGGAGAACGAAGGAAAGUGAACGGGUUUCCGGUGUAAAAAAAUAUAUAAAAUCGAUCCGUGAUUGGAUACGAGAAGAUAAUCGGUCCGAGGUUAUUUUACAUCCACGGUGGACACCGUGGAAUCGAAUUUUUUUUUUUUUUUUUUUCAAAUUUAUUGGAUACGUUUGAAUUGGAUUUUUCUAGUUGGAAAGUGAAAUUUUUCGAUUAAUUUUUACGCAGGGAAUAAUUUCUCUCUUUUUCUUUUUUGCGGUACGUGAUUUUCGGCGCGCUUGUUUCGGAAAAAAUUUCAAGCUUAUAUAAUAGAGAUUAUAAUAAUCAAGA